AAAGAACAAAUUUCUAGAGGCUGUUAUCAAAUUUUUCAAUUAUUAUAAAAUUUGGUGGCCUACUGAAAAGUUAUUAUAGUAUAGAACAGCCCUGGCUCCUAGAUUGCUCCUGUGACCACCAUACCACACAUUUAUGUUACUAAAUUGUCACUUUUUAUUGAAGUUUGAAGAGUAGCCAGACUUUUUUUUUUCCUAGCUCUGCCAAUAGAGACUUUGGCUGAUGGGGAUGUUACCACCACAAUAUUAAGCUUUCCUUCUUUAUUCAUAAGGGACUACAGUAAAAACUUACUUUUAGCACCUGUUCUUGAAGAUGAGUAGAUUAUGAUAAUGUAAUUUCACUAAAACCAUCUCACAAAUUGACAGUCUGGGCACUGCUUGAAAAUGCUUUCUGCAUAUUUUCAGAAGCAGACUUAAGACUGUAAUGAUGAUUUGUAUUCUUCCAUUUCUAAUAUUUUGGUAGGCACUUGUGGCUUCACAAGAUCACUUGAGAAAAUUUUAUCCUUAAGCCUUGGAAGCAUACAAUGGAAAGCAUAAUUCACAUGACUGAAAUCGGCAAGCUGUUUCUAAAAUUCACAUGGAAAUGCAAAGGAACUAACUAGUCAAAGAAAUUUCAUAAAAGAACAAAGUUGGAGGACUUGCUACUUGAUUUAAAGACUUCAAAUUUAGUUAUCAAGACAGUGAAUAAAGAUGGGAAAUCUGAAGUCAGAAGGAUGAAUGAUCUACCUACAGUUUCACAGGAAAUUGGGGGAGCUAGAAUUCUAAACCAGGCUUCUUGAAUUUCCACGUACAUAGGAAUCACCUGGGGAUGUUAAAAUGCAGAUUCCAAUAUAGUGAGUCUGGGAUAGGGCUCUAAAUUCUGCGUUUUUAACAAAGCACAAAGUUGACUCUGUAUUAUUAGUCCAGAGACCACACUUUGAACAGCAAGUUUUCCAAAACAGACAUUUCAAAUUUCUUCUUCUUCAAAUACCUUCAUUUUAUUAUUAUUAUUUUUUUUGUUUAUGUGGUUCUGGGGAUUGAACCCAGGGCCUUGCCGGUGCUAGGAAAGCGCUCUGCCACUGAGCCGCAACCCCAGCCUUCAGAUUUCUUAUAAGUAUUUCCAUGUUAAAAAGUACAUAAUUGGGUUUUCCUAUGUAGCAGCUGUUUUGUUUUAUUCAUUAAAGUCAUGAUUUAAAAA